AGAGGUUGCAAGGGCAAGACCACAGCAGAAUUGCUCAUGGUGCAGCCCUGUCAGAUUCCAGUGAAUCUACAAAUUCUGCA
rnacentral:ribozyme from 1 species